GUCCACGCUGUAAACGAUGGGCACUAGGUGUUGGCCCCGGUUCUGCCGGGGUCGGUGCCGUAGCUAACGUAUUAAGUGCCCCGCCUGGGGAGUACGCUCGCAAGGGUGAAACUCAAAGGAAUUGACGGGGGCCCGCACAAGCGGUGGAGCAUGUGGUUUAAUUCGAUGCAACGCGCAGAACCUUACCGGGGCUUAAACUGCUAAGUAAGCCCUAUGAAAAUAGGAUUAUUCUUCGGAAUAACUUAGUAGAGGUGCUGCAUGGCUGUCGU
rnacentral:rRNA from 1 species